rnacentral:lncRNA from 1 species
CUCUGAUAACGGCUUCCCUCUCUAAUUAAGCUGCAGUAAAGCUCCUCUCCAGCUGCCUGCAGUGGAAACAGCUCGUCCAAAAAGUGCUGUGCCUGGCGCUUUCACAGCGCUCCUGAAAUAUUAAGACGCCAGUCGUCAAAGUGCCCAAACCCAGGUCUAUUGAAACCAGCCUUUCAGUCAGUCGGUCAGCCAGCCCUCCAGAUGCCCAUCUCUCAGCCGGCCUUCCAGACAUCGGCAAGCCAGCUGGCACUCCAGACGUUCUUAAGUCUGUCAACCAUCCAGGCGAUUUCUAGCCAGCUAAUCCUCCUGUUGAUAUCAAGCCAACUGAUCUGCCUGGGGUUAGAUUUGUCUGCUCGGAUGUGGUGGUCUUCGGCUCCACCUUGGAGGUCAUCAUACCACAUUUGACUGAACGUGAAAGGGAGAUUUAGUGGAGCAUGAGGGAAUGGAAAGAAGCUCCGUCCACACUCCCGCCAGUGAGGCCCUGUAUCUCCUGUGGUUUCGCUCGUUCCGUCCAGCCAUAAAUCUCCUGCAUCUCCUGAGUUCCCGCCCAGCCUCUUCCACCUCCUCUCCUAAAAUCAGCCAGUCCUUCAGCCCUGCCUUCGCUGGUUUCUUUCAGGCCCUCAGCUCACCCUCAGUCAGUGCCAUCUGGGUCCCUGCCUCCACUUCAUUCACACGAGCCGUCAACUCUGCCUUGGCCCUCCAGAGCCACGGUGUCACCCUGGCUCUUAAGUUCUCCAUCUCCGCCCUGGGCUCCUCCUCCAUCGGCUCCAUCUCCAUCAGUUGGCCCCCUGGUGUCAUCAGCCUUACUGUACCUCCACCAUGGCUCCUCCCUCCAUCAACUCCGCCGUGGGCCUCCUUCCUGCCUAGACUAUGGUCCACAUCUGGCUCCUCCUGCUCCUGGCUCCUCCCUCCAUCAGCUCCUCCCUGGUCUCACCAUCCAUCAUCUCCUCUGGUGUCCUGGCCUCUGCAAACUCUAUGUCCUUCUCCAGAGCUGCUUCCUUCCUCCUCAGAUAUUCUCUUUACGGUGCGAGAUCGCGCCUUCCGGGAGGGGGAGCUACUGUUACGGUUAUGGACUUGUUGUUUUUUUCUGUUCCUGUUGUCUUGCCCUGUUUAGUUCCUGUCUCCCUAGUUUCUGUUUUUGUCAUUAGUUGCCUUGGUUACCUAUUCGUUUCAGGUGUUUCUUGUUAAUUUACCCAUUAUAUAUCGUCCCUGUUUUGUUCAGUUCUCUGCCGGUUAUUUUAAUUGCUGUUUGUUGAGUUGAUGGACUGUGUGCUACCUUUGCUCCAGUGAGUUACCUGUGUUGAUUCUUUGUGAAUUUCUACAAAGAAUCUUUGGAUCUUCUUCUUUGUGUGCUUGAUCUUUAUCAAGUGUGAGUUACAGUUUUUAUAAUAGCUUUGGUACUAUUUUCAUCAUUUCAUUUCAAUCAAGCAGUGCAUUUUCUAAAAUCUCUGCUAAUCUCACAACAGAUCACCAAAAAAUGCACCCUCUUUAAACAUUUCAGCGUAUUUUCAAUUAUGUUAGUACAGUACUCAAAAUCACAAAGCAUAUUUUUUUUAAUGUGCAUGAUGAGUUUAACCUAUAUUUCAAUUGUAAGGACCCAUUUCUAAAUAUUUAAGUCUCAUUUUCAAACUCUUCUGAGCACAACAGCAAUCUAUGUCAGCUAAACUGUGGCUCAUUUUCCAUGCAAAACUGAAUAAGACACCAAUUUGCAACAUGUUCAUAGUAAUGUCAUAUUCAAAUAUAUUCCAUAUUCAAACUUUGCUAGUGUUAUGAAAGAUUUAUGAAAGAUUAUGAAAGAUGAUUUGAGAUAUGUACAACUAGGUUUUGGUAGUUUUAAUGCAUUUUGGAUGUGAAAUGUACUGCUGUGCUAAGCUGAAGGUUGGUAAGGAGAACUGUGUGAAGAGUUUAAAACAAAAUAUAUUUGACUAAUGAAAACAUGAGCCCAGAUUUUUAAAGAAUGACUAGCGGUGUUAUGAGAGUAAUCAGUUUGGAAUUUUGUACUUGAAGUGUUUUGAACAUGUACCACUUGUGAAUAUAGU